GAUGAACGCUGGCGGCGUGCCUAAUACAUGCAAGUCGAGCGAACAGACGAGGAGCUUGCUCCUCUGACGUUAGCGGCGGACGGGUGAGUAACACGUGGAUAACCUACCUAUAAGACUGGGAUAACUUCGGGAAACCGGAGCUAAUACCGGAUAAUAUAUUGAACCGCAUGGUUCAAUAGUGAAAGACGGUUUUGCUGUCACUUAUAGAUGGAUCCGCGCCGCAUUAGCUAGUUGGUAAGGUAACGGCUUACCAAGGCAACGAUGCGUAGCCGACCUGAGAGGGUGAUCGGCCACACUGGAACUGAGACACGGUCCAGACUCCUACGGGAGGCAGCAGUAGGGAAUCUUCUGCAAUGGGCGAAAGCCUGACGGAGCAACGCCGCGUGAGUGAUGAAGGCCUUCGGAUCGUAAAACUCUGUUAUUAGGGAAGAACAAAUGUGUAAGUAACUAUGCACGUCUUGACGGUACCUAAUCAGAAAGCCACGGCUAACUACGUG
rnacentral:rRNA from 1 species